UGGGGAAUAUUGCACAAUGGGCGCAAGCCUGAUGCAGCCAUGCCGCGUGUAUGAAGAAGGCCUUCGGGUUGUAAAGUACUUUCAGCGGGGAGGAAGGCGAUAAGGUUAAUAACCUUGUCGAUUGACGUUACCCGCAGAAGAAGCACCGGCUAACUCCGUGCCAGCAGCCGCGGUAAUACGGAGGGGGCAAGCGUUAAUCGGAAUUACUGGGCGUAAAGCGCACGCAGGCGGUCUGUCAAGUCGGAUGUGAAAUCCCCGGGCUCAACCUGGGAACUGCAUUCGAAACUGGCAGGCUAGAGUCUUGUAGAGGGGGGUAGAAUUCCAGGUGUAGCGGUGAAAUGCGUAGAGAUCUGGAGGAAUACCGGUGGCGAAGGCGACCCCCUGGACAAAGACUGACGCUCAGGUGCGAAAGCGUGGGGAGCAAACA
rnacentral:rRNA from 1 species